CCUACGGGAGGCAGCAGUGGGGGAUAUUGCUCAAUGGGGGGAACCCUGAUGCAGCGACGCCGCGUGGGUGAAGGAGUGCUUCGGCAUGUAAAGCCCUAUCGGCAGGGAAGCAGCAAGACGGUACCUGACUAAGAAGCCCCGGCUAACUACGUGCCCGGAGCCGCGGUAAUGCGGAGGGGCCGAGCGUAAUCCGGAUUCACUGGGUGUAAAGGGAGUGUGGACGGCCAUGCAAGCCAGGGGUGAAAGCCCGGGGCCCAACCCCGGGACUGCCCGUGGAACGGCAUGGCGGGAGUGCGGGGGGGGCAGGGGGAAUUCCUGGUGUAGCGGUGAAAUGCGUAGAUAUCUGGAGGAACAUCAGUGGCGAAGGCGACUAUCUGGCACAUAACUGACGCUGAGGAGCGAAAGCGUGGGUAGCAAACAGGAUUAGAUACCCUAGUAGUC
rnacentral:rRNA from 1 species